CAAUUGUCAAUUCUGAUAUAUAAACAUUUAUCCGUUGCUUACCAAUUUCUGUUUCCCAACUUAACUUGGCUUUAAAGAGGUAAACAGUGAGCCAUGAAAUAACACUCAAGUCGAACUUUUUACAGUAGUUAUGCCGCUGCCCAACGAUCAGUUGUAAUUUUUAUCUGGAGCUCUCAAGUCAGGCCAAACAGGACUGAAAAUCUCUGAAUAAAAAUACACUAUCCAAAUUCCAAGUAAACACCUAACAAUUUUUCCGUUUCUUAAUCCGUGAAGCCUAGCAACAUUAUGUGCGGUUAUGGGUGCGGUCCCUAUGGCUAUGGACCCUCGGGUCCUUGCGGACCAUGGUGCGGACCCUGGUGUGGUCCUUGUGCCCUCUCGCUGGGACCCUGUAGCUACUCCUGCUGCGGCGGACCCAAAGGAUGCGGACCGAGCGGACCGGCCUGUUGGCCGUACGGCUUGUACACCUGCUAGGCUUCAGAAGGAUGUCAGAAACGUGUGAGCCAUUCCCCAAGAAAUGUAAUACCGCUUGGACCAUGACUUUGGAUAAAAUAAUAAAAAUAAGUGCUCGUUGUUCUCAUUAAAUAUUAUAAUAAAAUGUUUGCUUAUUUUCAAGGGAAAGGAAGGAAAGUUGCACCUGUAA